rnacentral:rRNA from 1 species
ACAUCCAGAGAAUUUAGCAGAGAUGCUUUAGUGCCUUCGGGAACUCUGAGACAGGUGCUGCAUGGCUGUCGUCAGCUCGUGUUGUGAAAUGUUGGGUUAAGUCCCGNAACGAGCGCAACCCUUAUCCUUUGUUGCCAGCACGUAAUGGUGGGAACUCAAAGGAGACUGCCGGUGAUAAACCGGAGGAAGGUGGGGAUGACGUCAAGUCAUCAUGGCCCUUACGAGUAGGGCUACACACGUGCUACAAUGGCGCAUACAAAGAGAAGCGACCUCGCGAGAGCAAGCGGACCUCAUAAAGUGCGUCGUAGUCCGGAUUGGAGUCUGCAACUCGACUCCAUGAAGUCGGAAUCGCUAGUAAUCGUAAAUCAGAAUGUUACGGUGAAUACGUUCCCGGGCCUUGUACACACCGCCCGUCACACCAUGGGAGUGGGUUGCAAAAGAAGUAGAUAGCUUAACCUUCGGGGAGGGCGUUUACCACUUUGUGAUUCAUGACUGGGGUGAAGUCGUAACAAGGUAAGCGUAGUGCU